GUCCAGACUCCUACGGGAGGCAGCAGUUUGGAAUUUUGGACAAUGGGCGAAAGCCUGAUCCAGCGACGCCGCGUGGACGAUGAAGGCCUUCGGGUUGUAAAGUCCUUUUGCUCGGGAACAAUUUUUGAGCGUACCGAGAGAAUAAGAGGUUGCUAACUCUGUGCCAGCAGCAGCGGUAAUACAGAGACCUCAAGCGUUAUCCGGAAUCAUUGGGCGUAAAGCGUUCCGAUAGGUGGUUUUACAAGUCAGAAGUGAAAUCUCUCAGCUCAACUGGGAGACUGUCUUUUGAUACUGUAAAACUAGAGGGGCAAAGAGGAAGCUGGAACAAACGGUGUAGUAGUGAAAUGCGUUGAUAUCGUUUGGAACACCAAUAGCGUAGGCAGGCUUCUGGGUGCCACCUGACACUGCUAGGACGAAAGCGUGGGGAGCGAUAAGGAUUAGAUACCCUUGUAGUCCACGCUGUAAACGAUGCACAUUAGGUGCUAGGGAGUAUCGACCCUCCUUAGUACCAUAGCUAACGCGUUAAAUGUGCCGCCUGGGGAGUACGGCCGCAAGGCUAAAACUCAAAGGAAUGACGGAAGGGC
rnacentral:rRNA from 1 species